UAGGGAAUCUUCCGCAAUGGGCGAAAGCCUGACGGAGCAACGCCGCGUGAGUGAUGAAGGUCUUCGGAUCGUAAAACUCUGUUAUUAGGGAAGAACAAAUGUGUAAGUAACUAUGCACAUCUUGACGGUACCUAAUCAGAAAGCCACGGCUAACUACGUGCCAGCAGCCGCGGUAAUACGUAGGUGGCAAGCGUUAUCCGGAAUUAUUGGGCGUAAAGCGAGCGCAGGCGGUUAGAUAAGUCUGAAGUUAAAGGCAGUGGCUCAACCAUUGUAGGCUUUGGAAACUGUUUAACUUGAGUGCAGAAGGGGAGAGUGGAAUUCCAUGUGUAGCGGUGAAAUGCGUAGAUAUAUGGAGGAACACCGGUGGCGAAAGCGGCUCUCUGGUCUGUAACUGACGCUGAUGUGCGAAAGCGUGGGGAUCAAACAGG
rnacentral:rRNA from 1 species